AAAAAUCCAAGAAACGAAAUCCAGAAUUUCAGAAAUCCACAAACCCAGUAGAAAAUUCAAUCAACAAAAAUUCCAGAACACAACAAAUCAAACACUUAACCUUAGAAUCAAACCCAGGAUGAGCUAAGGCACCAAGCUUAAGAACAAAUCAACAACAAACCCAAAAUGCAACGAACUCAGAAAUCAAAACCCAGAAAUCCAGAAAUCAAACAAUGCCGCACAACUUAUAAACCCAUAAAUCAAACAACGCCGCACAACCAUUACUGUCUGCGCCGUCGACAACGCCUCCAUGCUACCAUCGACACAGCACUACCAUGUUCACUGUUGAUAAUUCAUUGUGGCUAUGUGUUUUGUGGGGUUAGAUUCUUAAAUAAAGGAGAGGAAGAAGAGGAAGAAGAGGAAGAAGAACAAGAAGGAGGAGUUAGAUUCUUAAAUAAAGAAGAGGAAGAAGAACAAAAAGAAGGGGUAAGAUUCUUAAAUGAAUAUAUUUAUUAUGUACUUUCUUGGAAAAUAUAUUUUCUUGAAAAAAUUUUGAGUUGGAAGCAGAACAAGUUGAAUAAAUCAUAACAAGAUUUCAUUGAUCUCAAAAUUUUUUGAAAUUUUAAUUGAAGGGUUAUCUUUAAAGACCAACGUAGUGGAAGAUUAGCAUUUGAAAAUUUUUCUAUAUUUACCCUUCGCAACUUUUCUUGGAAAAUUUUUGAAUUGGAUAGAAAACAGUUUGAAUGAAAUCAUGACAGAUUUUAUUUAUCUCUAAAUUUUUUUAAAUUUUAAUCUAAUUUUGAAAUUUUAAUGUAACGGUUAUCUUUAAAGACCAAUUUAGUGGAAGAUUAUCAUUUGCCAUCUUUUCUCAAAACUUUCUCUCCUCUCUUGGAAAAAUGGCCAAAGUUGCAGUCUUCUUGCUGUUUCUGCUCCUUUGCAUGUUUUUCAUCUCAGGAAUGGCAAAGCCAGCUUCUUCUAAACGAGAAUAUAUCAAAGCCCUGUGCAAGGAAACCCCAAGUCCACCGCUAUGCGUCCAAUACCUCUCCAUGUUUCCAAACUCAACGAUACAAAACCCAAUGAAGAUGGCUAACGCUGCAUUAUUAGCAAGCCUAUACAGAGCCCAGUACGCAAAAUCAUACACCUUGACAGCAGUCAAAAGGAGAAAACUCGUGAAGCAUCCAAUUGUAGAUGAUUGUUUAGAUCAAAUAAGUUCUGCGGUGCAAGAACUUAACGACUCAAUUACAGAGCUACAUUACUUGGGAGGACAUGCAAAGAAGGGCAACGAUGAUCAUCAAUGCGACGACGAUUGCCACAUAAGUAAUAUUGCAACGUGGUUGAGCGCCGCUGAGACUGAUUCUUCCACUUGUGUUGAUGAAUUGGAUGAGUGGCUGAGCAGGAAUAAAAGCAAUUUAUUGACUUUGUUUAGGGCCAGGUUUCGUAACGUGGUAGAUGCUAUUGGAAAUGCUUUAGCCUUGUUUUGCACAUUUGCUGCAAAGUGUCAAUGAAGCCUGCAUGUUCUAAUGUGAUUUUUCACUGUGAAAAUGUUAAUAAAUUUGCAGGAAUUGGUAUCCUCUGCAUAUAUAUUAAAAGAGCUAUGAAAAUUAUCUAACAGAUCUGUUCAAUUUCUUCAAAUAGGAUUGUUCAAGAUGGUUUAGAGAUAUGGCUAUUCUUCUGUUAUGGUCUAACAGUCUGCCAUCAAUUUCCUGUCACAGAUCACAAUGCCAAAUCUCUAAUAUCAAUAAGGUGACUAGUGGAUAUUGUAGUAAGCAAAACUACGCAUUACUUUCACCUAUUAAAAUAUAGAAUUUUAGUACAUGCAUACCUCACAGGAAGAUGAGCUACUCAGCAUGUGAAGCAAAUUCUGUCCAAAUAAUGACAAAAAAAAUAUUUUUAUUGGUUCUUUGGAAGUUUUUAAGCCAAAUGAGGUUACUGGGAUUUGAAUAUCCA
rnacentral:misc_RNA from 1 species